ACAUAUUGCAUGAAUAUUCAUACACAAACAGAAACAAACAAAUACAAAAACUAACCAUACAUGACGUAUAUAUAAUUCGUAUCCUUCUCUCAUUUUUGUCUCUCUUUUC
rnacentral:ribozyme from 14 species